UACGGAGGGAGCUAGCGUUAUUCGGAAUUACUGGGCGUAAAGCGCACGUAGGCGGCUUUGUAAGUAAGAGGUGAAAGCCCAGAGCUCAACUCUGGAAUUGCCUUUUAGACUGCAUCGCUUGAAUCAUGGAGAGGUCAGUGGAAUUCCGAGUGUAGAGGUGAAAUCCGUAGAUAUUCGGAAGAACACCAGUGGCGAAGGCGGCUGACUGGACAUGUAUUGACGCUGAGGUGCGAAAGCGUGGGGAGCAAACAGG
rnacentral:rRNA from 1 species